GCCGGGCAUGGUGGCGCGUGCCUGUAGUCCCAGCUACUCGGGAGGCUGAGGCAGAAGAAUCGCUUGAACCCAGGAGGCAGAGGUUGCAGUGAGCCGAGAUUGUGCCACUGCACUCCAGCCUGGGCAACAGAGUGAGACUCUGUCUCAG
rnacentral:SRP_RNA from 1 species